GACGAACGCUGGCGGCGUGCUUAACACAUGCAAGUCGAACGGAAAGGCCCUGCUUUUGUGGGGUGCUCGAGUGGCGAACGGGUGAGUAACACGUGAGUAACCUGCCCUUGACUUUGGGAUAACUUCAGGAAACUGGGGCUAAUACCGGAUAGGAGCUCCUGCUGCAUGGUGGGGGUUGGAAAGUUUCGGCGGUUGGGGAUGGACUCGCGGCUUAUCAGCUUGUUGGUGGGGUAGUUGCUUACCAAGGCUUUGACGGGUAGCCGGCCUGAGAGGGUGGACAGCCACAAUGGGACUGAGAGACGGCCCAGAAGCGUACGGGAGGCAGCAGUGGGGAAUAUUGCACAAUGGGCGGAAGCCUGAUGCAGCAACGCCGCGUGCGGGAUGACGGCCUUCGGGUUGUAAACCGCUUUCGCCUGUGACGAAGCGUGAGUGACGGUAAUGGGUAAAGAAGCACCGGCUAACUACGUG
rnacentral:rRNA from 1 species